GAUGAACGCUGGCGGCGUGCUUAACACAUGCAAGUCGAACGGAAAGGCCCAAGCUUGCUUGGGUACUCGAGUGGCGAACGGGUGAGUAACACGUGGGUGAUCUGCCCUGCACUUCGGGAUAAGCCUGGGAAACUGGGUCUAAUACCGGAUAGGACCACUUCUUGGAUGUUGUGGUGGAAAGUUUUUUCGGUGUGGGAUGAGCUCGCGGCCUAUCAGCUUGUUGGUGGGGUAAUGGCCUACCAAGGCGUCGACGGGUAGCCGGCCUGAGAGGGUGUACGGCCACAUUGGGACUGAGAUACGGCCCAGACUCCUACGGGAGGCAGCAGUGGGGAAUAUUGCACAAUGGGCGCAAGCCUGAUGCAGCGACGCCGCGUGGGGGAUGACGGCCUUCGGGUUGUAAACUCCUUUCGCUAGGGACGAAGCGUUUUGUGACGGUACCUGGAGAAGAAGCACUGGCUAACUACGUG
rnacentral:rRNA from 1 species